GAGCCACCAGUGAAGUAUUAUACAUUAUAUCCAUUUUUAUCAUAACACUGUCAAUUACAAUCUAUAAAUGUGAUAAUGACAAAUAACUGCGUACAGGUAACAGAUUAAAUUUUUUUAAAAAACAUAGAUAACAUAAUAAUAGGUAGUAAAAUGUUCCUAUUUGCAUUUACUAGAAAAAAAUAAAUGAUAAAUGAUCAAUUAUUAUAAUGUCAAGAUUUGUUUUUAAUAAUGGACCAAAACAUUAUUAAAUGGGUGUCAAGACAACAGCUCAUUGAUGUUAUUGGUACCUAUACUAUUUAUAAAAUAUAUUUUACCUAUAUAAUGUGUACUUAUAUAUUAUUACCUAGUAUUACCAAGCUAACUUUGGUUCCAACCAUGUGACUAAUUUUCAUACAACAUUUAUAUACAUAAAACAAGUACAGAUUCUUUGUAAAACCCUAUUCAAAUAUUUAGAUGUAAUGAUUAUCAUUCAAUACUGUGGAUAUCAAAUAAUCUUUAAAUACCUACCUAAAAUAAUUUAAUGAAAAUAAAAUUAUUUUUAUUAAACUACUUGGUGGUUAGGUUUUCUUUAAAUCAAAAGCUAUCUUAAAACAAACUAAAAUUGUAAUAUUCCUGGCUAUAUUUAUUGUAUUAUAUAUUUGUAUAAUUUUUUAUAUUGAUUUAUAAUAGUUUAAUAUUAAUCUUAUAUACUUAUUAAAAUUUUUUUUUUUGCUCAUACUCAUAUUUGCCCCAUAUACUCGAGGUAUAUAAUAAUAAUACAAUCUGUAGAUAAAAAUGAAUGAUCUAAGAGAAUAAUAUAUAUUUAUUUGUUUAUUUAGAAUAAAAAAAUGCUAAAAUAAAUUGUAAUUAUACAUUUAACUAAUAAAUAUUUAUAUGACACCUACCACAUUAUUAUAGCAGAUCUCACACAUGUCUGGAAAAGAGAUGAUACAAUCAAUGCACUUCCAUCCAUGGCCGCCACAAUACCUUGAGAAAUUGGGAGUGUCUCAGAAGGCCCACCAGCAACAAAUGUAGUUACUGCCUAUCGGAUCCAUGAGGCUGUUAAUGUUGGACAUCCAUAAAACUAUAUCCAAAAAGUAAGUACAUUCAAAUAUUAACCAUUAAAUGCCAUUAUUAUACCAAAUAUAUACCAUGAUCUAUAAUAUUUAUUCUAAAAAUCCUAGGGAAUUGAAUCCCAUGCAGAUGGUCAAUUGUUCACCGCAAGGAUCACAACACCACCUGUGUCCACAUGAUAGAAGAACAUUUUAACUUCGCCAACUUCAUCUCUACAUCCCUAACAAACAAAACAAUGAUCAUGUUCAUCACCUGUUAUAGUAUAAAAUAAGUUAUAGUUAAAGUGGUAUUUUUGUAUUAUCUAGUUUAAACUAAUGACAAUUUUUAUAUUAAGAAUAGAGUAUACAUUUGAGCAGUUCUUUAGUAGUAAAAAAAGGGUGUACUGUAUAAGUUAUACUUAUAACUAUACUAUAAUUGAAUGUAAUCUUCUAAAGACAUACCCUAUACAACCUUAACGUGAAGGUAUAUGGUGUAUACCUUUCACUACACCCCUGCAUAAUAUGAGUUACCUGCUAUUUAUGUUAAUGCCUGUUCCUCCAAAUGUAUGCCAUUCAGUUGUUCAGAAUCUUCUCGAUAUUAACAUUUGAAUCAUUUUCAUAAGUAAAAAUAUUUAAAUAUUAAUAUUUUUCUUUAACAAUAAAUUGUUUAUAUUACCUGAAAAUACAGUUUUAAUUGACAUUAAAAAC
rnacentral:lncRNA from 1 species